ensembl:snRNA U4 U4 spliceosomal RNA
AGCUUUGAACAGUGGCAGUAUUGUAGCUAAUGAGGUUUAGCCAAGGCGCGAUUAUUGCUAAUUGAACACUUUUCUGAAACCCCACUGUGUGGACUUGCAAUGUAGUUGGCACUAGUGAUUUUUGACAGUUGCUAUGGAGA